rnacentral:misc_RNA from 1 species
GAUGAAGAACUUAGCAAAAUGCGAUAAGUAAUGUGAAUUGCAGAAUUCAGUGAAUCAUCGAAUCUUUGAACGCACAUUGCGCCCGCCAGUAUUCUGGCGGGCAUGCCUGUUCGAGCGUCAUUUCAACCCUCAAGCCCCCGGGUUUGGUGUUGGGGAUCGGGCUGUACUCCAGCCCGGCCCCGAAAUCUAGUGGCGGUCUCGCUGCAGCCUCCAUUGCGUAGUAGCUAACACCUCGCAACUGGAACGCGGCGCGGCCAAGCCGUUAAACCCCCAACUUCUGAAUGUUGACCUCGGAUCAGGUAGGAAUACCCGCUGAACUUAAGCAUAUCAAUAAGCGGAGGA